AGAUCUGAGCCUGGGAGCUCUCU
rnacentral:misc_RNA from 1 species